rnacentral:rRNA from 1 species
GAUGAACGCUGGCGGCGUGCCUAAUACAUGCAAGUCGAGCGAACAGACGAGGAGCUUGCUCCUCUGACGUUAGCGGCGGACGGGUGAGUAACACGUGGAUAACCUACCUAUAAGACUGGGAUAACUUCGGGAAACCGGAGCUAAUACCGGAUAAUAUAUUGAACCGCAUGGUUCAAUAGUGAAAGACGGUUUUGCUGUCACUUAUAGAUGGAUCCGCGCCGCAUUAGCUAGUUGGUAAGGUAACGGCUUACCAAGGCAACGAUGCGUAGCCGACCUGAGAGGGUGAUCGGCCACACUGGAACUGAGAAACGGUCCAGACUCCUACGGGAGGCAGCAGUAGGGAAUCUUCCGCAAUGGGCGAAAGCCGACGGAGCAACGCCGCGUGAGUGAUGAAGGUCUUCGGAUCGUAAAACUCUGUUAUUAGGGAAGAACAAAUGUGUAAGUAACUAUGCACGUCUUGACGGUACCUAAUCAGAAAGCCACGGCUAACUACGUG